rnacentral:tRNA from 1 species
UGGGGCGUCGUCAAGUGGUUUAAGACACAGGAUUUUGGUUCCUGCAUUCGAAGGUUCGAAUCCUUCCGCCCCAGCCA